CCCGGGAAUAAGGCCGCUUCCCUCCUCCGGGCCGAGGCCGCCAUCUUAGGUGCGGGCGAAGUGGCUUUCCCUUGCCGCUCCUGCUAUACAAAGGGUGGGACCACGUGAUCACCUCGCCGUGCCGGAGGCUCUGGUGCCCGAACUCAAGAUGGCAUAUAGGGCCCUCUGCCUCUUCCCUUCACUCCACCCUCCCGGCCCCUCUAGGCCUUUUCCUCCUCCUCGAUGUCUUUCGCUCCGGACGCCGGCGCGCAGGCCCUACUUACUCCGGGGGAUAGAGGCGCAGCUCCUCGAUAUCUCCCAGGAAUCCGAACAGCGUCCGCAUCUGCUCACUGGUGACGGCCGAGGACAGGCACCUCGUAUCCAAAGCCAGUUAGCAGAGGUACAGAGCUAUAACUGCUUUGAAGAUUUCUUUUUGCAACUCUCCGUGGAGGAUACCAGAAAAAUUAGUUCUAAAAUUUGCAAAUAGAAAAGUUCUGUGAUUUCAGAACUGACUGGGAUACUCCUCUCCAGUCCCUGCCACAGGACAAAAUUUGCUUGGCAAAUAAUACAAAUAAAUUAAUGUGGAAACCACAAGAACAGCAAAAAAGAAACCAAACCCCAGCACUGAAAGCCUUGGUUUACACAGGCUUCCCUUAAAAUGCAAGCAAGAAGUAAGCAAUGACUCUGUUUUCUAUAAAUGCUCAAAACUUCAAAGUAAUUAAGAGACACUCCAUCUCCUAUAAUAAAGACAAACCUAUUGGGGGAAAAAAUGAAGUGGGUCGACAUGCCAAAGGGGAAUCAAUGUAGAAGCAGUGCCCAGACAUCAUCUUCUAUCUAAUCGACACUAAACAGACCCACAUUAACAUCUUAUGGGUCGCUGUGGGCCAAGGGAAACCUUCAGUUAUGAUUUGUGGAUUAAUACACAUAGAAACUUCUCUGUUUUUCCACCCAUUUUUGUCCCUUCUGCUAACCACACUGGUGCACUUAAGAUUCAGGAAGUAAAUUAUUUUUGCUUACCUUCACCUUGCUUGUAGGAGCAAUAACAUCAGGUUAACCAGUGAAGACCAAGGUGUGCCAUGCCUGCCGUGCAGAAGUCUUUCAGCUUCUCCCACCUGUGGACCCCAACAUUGGUCUUCUGACAAUCCACACAGAAGGCUGUGGCUGAGCUCUGGUCCUGGAGCUCAGACCAUGAUUUCAGCAUGCACUUUGCCAUUGUAGCUUUAGCUGGACUUUUUGGGUGCUUGUCAGGACUGCUCAUUGUAGUCAGAUCUCAAAAGUACGUGUCAACACCUUUCUGGAAGAGGACGGUUAUUAAAAAAUCCCAUUCUUAAUGUGUAAAACGAGGUGCAAACUCUGCUUUGAGGGAAACGGAUUUAUCAGCAAUCACUACGUAGCCAGGAUUCUUUCAGUUUCCUUCACAGUUGCUCCUAGACUGAGUGGGACUUUGCAGUUCAUAGAGGUGCGCUGUUUUCAGACACUGUAAAGACAAAUAACAAAUGAUUGACCAUCCAAGAGGUACAGGGCAAAUCUCGGAAUAUAAAGCAUUUGCUUGCCCUUACAACCACAGACCUUUUUCUUUAAUCAGCUGAGUUAUUUUCUGCAUCUGGAAGAUAAUCAUCGCUUGUUCUUUUUAGAUCCUGUAAAACAACAGCAAUACAUUAUGCUUACACAGAUUAUGAAACUUAAGUUCCUCGUUACCUACAUGUAAAAUGGUAAAGUUUUUAAACAAAUCAACUAUUAACCUUUUGUCUAAGUCAUGUUUCCUGAUCUUUCCACUAGGUUUAAAAGGCAGUUACAGGGAAAUGUUAAUUGCAAGUGCCAGCAGCAAAAUAUGGGCAAUUCAGAAGGAAGUUACAGCAAGGCCUGUUUCAGAUGAUGAGGAGAAAAGUCUUUUUUCUUACAAGAAGUCAUCUGUAGAGUAGAGGAUGGGUGGUCUGUUAGAGGUGGACAAAAGUGUUGUACUUGCUGUACUUCCAGAGGCAGGCAAUAGGAAUCAAAUGUGGUGGGAUAAAGACGGAAACAUUAGAAAGCAUUUAUUAGCCUUCUUUAAAAGCCUUGAAGGCUUCCUGAAGAAUGAUGUCCACAGAGCACAUCAUUGAUAUAAAAUCAAGUAGUUCUAAGUUUUAAGACAUUUUAGUCUGAAAAGUAAAAUUUAUCUUCAGAUGCAGCUACUCCUGGGGCACCAGUAAAACUUUCCUCCAGAAAUCCCAAGCCCCUGUGACUGGCAAGAAAGUCUGGAGCAAGGAAGACAUAACCCUUAGCAGAGGAGAAUCAGGAAUGAGUUGUACACUCACAAGUCCAUGGGACCUGAUGGGAUGUUCUUAUGUGCAUUGUGAAAUCUAGCCAGUGUCAUGGUGAGACCACUAUUAAUUGUCUUGGGAAGGUUGCAAGUGCUUGGAGAGGGCAAUGUCACCUCUAGAUUCCUGAUGGGCAAGCAUCUGUAAAACUACAGGGCAGUCAGCCUUGCCUGGAUCCCUGGGAAACUGGCAUAGCAAAUCCCAUGAAAGCUCUUUUCAUACAUGAUGAGGACAAGAAGGUGGUUGGGAGUUGUGAGCAUGGAUUUAUAAAGAGAAAAUUGUGCCUGGCCAUCUGAUAGCCUUCUGCAAUGAGAAGAAGGCUCAUGUGAAUGAGGAGAGAGCAGUGUUCACCUUAGCUUUAACAAGGGUUUUGUGACCUCAGCCCGUAACAUCCUCAUAAACAAACCAAGGAAGUAUAGGUUAGCUGAGUGGGCAGUCAGGUACAUUGGAAGCUGGAUGAACUGCCCUGCUUAAAGGGCUGGGGUCAGUGGCACAAAAUCCAGCUGGCAAUGAGGUAAUAGUGCUGUACCCCAGGGUCAAUAAUGGGUCCAAUACUGAUAUAUCACCAUUGUCUCUUCAUUAAUAAAGUGGCCCAUAGUGCCACCUCAGCAGGUUUGCAGAUGAUACAGAAUCGAGAGAGGUGGCUGAUACCUUAAAGCAUAUGUGCUGUCGUGCAGAGAGGUCUCAGAAGGAGAAGGCAGACAGGCAUCACAUCUUGUUGAGCCAAGGGAAAUGCAAAGUCCUGAAGCUGGCCGGGAAUAACCCAGUACAUGCUGGAAAACUGUCUGGCAGAAAACAGCCUGGGAAUCCUGUUCACAGAUCCUUAGCACAAGCAAGCAAUGCACUCCUAUUGCAAAGAGGGCCAACAGCCCCUUGGGCUGCAUUAGCAGGAGUAUCACCAUCAACUUAAGGAACAUGAUCCUUGCCUUCUGCUCAGCACUAAUGAGGGAGCAUCUGGAAUGUCAUGAAAGCCUGUACCAGGCUCCCCAGCUCAGGAGGCUUCUUACCAAUGUAAGUACCUCAUAGAAUAGUAUAAACGGGACAGACAGACAUGUCUCCGUGGUGUCCAGUGACAUGACAAGAGGCAAUGGGCACAAACUGAAAUACAGGAAAUUUCAUUUCAUCAUACUGUGAGGGUGGUUAACUGCUGGAAGUGGUUGCCCAGAGAAGUUGUAGAGUUUUGAUUCAUACGUAGAUAGGUAAGUUUAAGAUAUGGAAGCUUGCUUAUUAAAAUUUACAAUAUUAGUUAGAAAAUUGCACAUAUAGUUUUAUGAAAUUGCUGGUCUUGUAAGCCCACAAACAGCUAUUACACAGAUACAGCUAUUUCUUGUAACAUAACUAUUGCUCAGCACUGAUAGUUUCAAGGCUGGUAUAUACCUAUAUGAUGUAUUACUCUGUUUUGUUUUAUCUUGGUUAUGUUUUGAGGUUUUAAGGUUAUGUUUUAGUUGAUGUUGCAUUACAUUAUUUUCUGUUUUCUUCCCCAAGCCAAGUGGCCUGGACUGUUUUGUCCUGAACCUUAAGUGGCAAUUAAGCUCUCCCUGCCCUUUGGCAAUUCUCAGCCUCUUUGAUACUUGAGGCUAACCGUGGUCUUUUGUUUCCCUGAUGGGCCUAAACCACAAGUUAGUUCUACACUUCAAUAUUUUGAAAUUGUAUUCCACUGACAAUUACAAGGCCUGCCUAGCCCUAAACAAAACUGUUAUCUGGGAUGGCAAAGGCCUUAGGCCAGUUUUCAUCCUGUCCAAGAACCCAGGAAUAAAAAUACAUCACAAGGAAAGUUUGGAUCUUAAUCCAACAGCAAUCCCUAAUGACCACUGGAGGAAGCAAGAGGACACCGAAAGAAACAUGAUGGAGGUGUACCUGGAGUGGACCAAGAUGGGACUAUGGGUGGGCCCUUUCCUGGAAAUAUAAUGAAUAUUCAUGUUUGUUGUAAAUAUAAGCCGAAAAUCCAAAGGCUGGGGUGGGCACGUUUGGUGGAGAAAUCCCCCGUGUUCCCCAGCACCACAAUAAAGAAUACCUGCCUAAUA